UACGUAGGGUGCAAGCGUUGUCCGGAAUUAUUGGGCGUAAAGAGCUCGUAGGCGGUCUGUCGCGUCUGGUGUGAAAAUCCAGGGCUUAACCCUGGACCUGCAUCGGGUACGGGCAGACUAGAGUGCGGUAGGGGAGAUCGGAAUUCCUGGUGUAGCGGUGAAAUGCGCAGAUAUCAGGAGGAACACCCGUGGCGAAAGCGGCUCUCUGGGACGGUACUGACGCUGAGACGCGAAAGCGUGGGGAGCAAACAGG
rnacentral:rRNA from 1 species